AUUUUAUCCCCUACAUAACACCAAAUAUACCCAUGGGCUUAAAAUUUAUUCAAAUAAGGUACAGCCUAUUUGAAACAGGAUACAACCUACACUAGCAGGUAAUGCUCAACCCAUAUGACCAAGUAGGCCUAAAAGCAGCCAUCUUUUAAAGAGCGUUAAAGCCUCAUCAUACUUAUUUUUAAUUCCAAUCAAAACCUAAAACCUCUUACCACUACUGAAUGACUUCAUACUAAUAUGAAAAUCUCUAUGUUAGAACUAGUAACAAGAAUAAUUUCUCCUACAAAUGUAAGUGUAAGCCGAAAUGGAUUAUCCACCGGCACUUACCGCCAAUGAACUUAUAGUAACAACCUUCCCAAGAAAAUCUUACUACUCCCGACGUUAACCUUACACAAGAACUUUUCUAGAAAGAUUAAAAAAGGGGGAAG
rnacentral:rRNA from 1 species